UGAGCAACCUGCCCCGGACUCUGGGAUAACAGUUGGAAACAGCUGCUAAUACUGGAUACGAGCUGCGAAGGCAUCUUCAGCAGCUGGAAAGAACUUCGGUCUGGGGAUGGGCUCGCGGCCUAUCAGCUAGUUGGUGAGGUAACGGCUCACCAAGGCGUCGACGGGUAGCCGGCCUGAGNGGGUGACCGGCCACACGUGGGACUGAGACACCGGCCCAGACCUCGUACGGGGACGG
rnacentral:rRNA from 1 species